AGCUCGUAGUUGAAUCUUGGGCCUGGCUGGCCGGUCCGCCUCACCGCGUGUACUGGUCCGGCCGGGUCUUUCACUCUGCGGAACCACAUGCCCUUCAGUGGGUGUGGCGGGGAAGCAGGACUUUUACUUUGAAAAAAUUAGAGUGCUCUAAGCAGGCCAAUGCUCGAAUACAUUAGCAUGGAAUAAUAAAAUAGGACGCGCGGUUCUAUUUUGUUGGUUUCUAGGACCGCCGUAAUGAUGAAUAGGGACAGUCGGGGGCAUCAGUAUUCAGUUGUCAGAGGUGAAAUUCUUGGAUCUACUGAAGACUAACUACUGCGAAAGCAUUUGCCAAGGAUGUUUUCAUUAAUCAGGAACGAAAGUUAGGGGAUCGAAGACGAUCAGAUACCGUCGUAGUCUUAACCAUAAACUAUGCCGACUAGGGAUCGGACGAUGUUAUUUAGUUGACUCGUUCGGCACCU
rnacentral:rRNA from 1 species